rnacentral:rRNA from 1 species
UGACCUCAAAUCAGGUAGGACUACCCGCUGAACUUAAGCAUAUCAAUAAGCGGAGGAAAAGAAACUAACAAGGAUUCCCCUAGUAACUGCGAGUGAAGAGGGAAAAGCUCAAAUUUAAAAUCUGGCAGCUUCGCUGUCCGAGUUGUAAUUUAGAGAAGUGUUACCCGUGCUGGACCGUGUACAAGUCUUCUGGAACGGAGCGUCAUAGAGGGUGAGAAUCCCGUCUUUGACACGGACUACCAGURCAUUGUGGUACACUCUCAAAGAGUCGUGUUGUUUGGGAAUGCAGCACUAAAUGGGUGGUAAAUUCCAUCUAAAGCUAAAUAUUGGCGAGAGACCGAUAGCAAACAAGUACCGUGAGGGAAAGAUGAAAAGAACUUUGGAAAGAGAGUUAAACAGUACGUGAAAUUGUUAAAAGGGAAACGCUUGAAGUCCAGUCGCGUUGGUUGGAAAUCAGUCUUGCUUUUGCUUGAUGUACUUUCUAAUUGACGGGUCAACAUCAGUUUUGACCGUUGGAAAAAGAUUAGAGGAAUGUGGCAUCUUCGGAUGUGUUAUAGCCUUUAGUUGUAUACAACGGUUGGGACUGAGGAACUCAGCACGCCGAAAGGCCAGGUACUUGUACCAUGUACGUGCUU